AGCUGUUGUAUUUCCACACAGCGCGUAUUAGGAGUAUCCCUAGAGAAAUAUAUAUGCGUGCACAUACGUGCCUAUGUAAUUCUAUGUAUGUAGAUAAGAAUGUCAAAAUGCACAGCUGUCAGUAUCAGCCUUCUCCCCUCCUUAAGGGAGACACUGUACUCUGUAACCAUGAAUUCUUAACAGUGCAGUAAUCCCCUCCUCCCUCUCCCCUUUCUUGUCCGUGAUCAUCUAAAUUAUAUAUAUAUAUAUAUAUAUAUAUAUAUAAUGCAAUAAUCUACGGAUCUACGGUUCUACAUUGUAUAGAGAACACCAGAAAGCAUGAAACGCUAUAGACUGCAGAGGAGGAAGAAAUGCAUUUAAAGCAACGAUAAAAAUGGCGUGCAGGAUAAUUACCUCAAAUUGCUAUUCGCUUGACACCCUGACACUAAUUUUGUUCAAGCCAUUGGGACAUACAAUAAGGCAAAUACACCUUCCUCGCCUGCUUGUGCAGCAUUCCCUCAGCAGUCGGAUUUUUGCCACUGCAGCUCAGCAGAGGGUGUCAGAUCUUUCAGAGUGCACCAGGUUGAAACGAGCAGAGCCUCUUAGCAACUCUCCCCCUGCGUGCCUGUGAGUGUGUGCGAGCUUAGCGUGCGGCUCGGCAGCAGCGGAAGAAAACGGAAAGAAGAGCGAGUGAGGGCGCGGGCGACGAGGGGAGGCAGCGCGGCCGGCAGGGCGAGGCGAGGCGCGGCGCGGUCGCUCGGUCGGUCUGUCAGUCCGUCGUUCUGUCGGGGAGCCCCGAUCCCUCCGCAGGCUCCCGCCGCAGGCAGCAUGGGCAGCGGCGCAGCGCAGCGGGGGCAGGGGGCGCCGCGCAGCGCCAGGGGCUCGGCGGCCAUCGCCUAGGCAGCGCCUUCAGCACCGGCAGCCCGGACAGCUCCCGGCGGGCGGCCCCGCGGCCCCGCGCCACAAGGUCAGCCCGGCGCCGAGCCCGAGCCGGAGCGGGAGCCGCGCACACGCGCAGCCUCCGCGCACACCGCGGCGCGCUCCACCCGCUCCUCUCCGGCAUGCGGCGGCUGGCGGCGGCCGGCACCGUUUCCCUGACG
rnacentral:lncRNA from 1 species